CUCAGCGUUAUUGCCCACAGCACAGUUUUAGGGUCUCAUUGUGAGUUUUGAAGAGCUGCUGUCCCUGACACAGCGUCCAGCAUGUUCCGUGUAGCACCUUUCCCAAGAGCUUGGCACGGUGGAAACGUGGACGCGUAUCCGUGCCAGGAGCUGCGCUGAGGGGCGGAGCUGUCCUGG